UGGGGAAUAUUGGACAAUGGGCGCAAGCCUGAUCCAGCCAUGCCGCGUGUGUGAAGAAGGCCUUUUGGUUGUAAAGCACUUUAAGCGAGGAGGAGGCUACUUGGAUUAAUACUCUAGGAUAGUGGACGUUACUCGCAGAAUAAGCACCGGCUAACUCUGUGCCAGCAGCCGCGGUAAUACAGAGGGUGCGAGCGUUAAUCGGAUUUACUGGGCGUAAAGCGUGCGUAGGCGGCUUUUUAAGUCGGAUGUGAAAUCCCUGAGCUUAACUUAGGAAAUGCAUUCGAUACUGGGAAGCUAGAGUAUGGGAGAGGAUGGUAGAAUUCCAGGUGUAGCGGUGAAAUGCGUAGAGAUCUGGAGGAAUACCGAUGGCGAAGGCAGCCAUCUGGCCUAAUACUGACGCAGAGGUACGAAAGCAUGGGGAGCAAACAGG
rnacentral:rRNA from 1 species